GACGAACGCUGGCGGCGUGCUUAACACAUGCAAGUCGAACGGAAAGGCCCUGCUUGCAGGGUACUCGAGUGGCGAACGGGUGAGUAACACGUGGGUGAUCUGCCCUGCACUUCGGGAUAAGCCUGGGAAACUGGGUCUAAUACCGGAUAGGAGCCAUUUUUAGUGUGAUGGUUGGAAAGUUUUUUCGGUGUAGGAUGAGCUCGCGGCCUAUCAGCUUGUUGGUGGGGUAAUGGCCUACCAAGGCGGCGACGGGUAGCCGGCCUGUGAGGGUGGACGGCCACAUUGGGACUGAGGUACGGCCCAGACUCCUACGGGAGGCAGCAGUGGGGAAUAUUGCACAAUGGGCGCAAGCCUGAUGCAGCGACGCCGCGUGGGGGAUGACGGCCUUCGGGUUGUAAACUCCUUUCGCUAGGGACGAAGCUUUUUGUGACGGUACCUAGAUAAGAAGCACCGGCUAACUACGUG
rnacentral:rRNA from 1 species